UGUGCGUGCGCGGCUCCAAGCGGGGGGCGGAGCCUGGCCGCGGGCGCCCGCUGUAAACAUACAACAUGGCGGCGGCGGCUCCAGGCGCUCUGGGCGCCUUGAGAACGGUUGGCGUCCGCCUGGUGGCCGCGUGCUGCGCGCGGCUCGGCCCCGCGGCCUGGGCUAGGGGUACCGCCCCGAGGAGGGGCUACAGCUCGGAGGUGAAGACGGAGGAUGAGUUGCGCGUGCGGCACCUGGAGGAGGAGAACCGAGGCAUUGUGGUGCUCGGGAUUAACAGAGCUUAUGGGAAAAAUGCACUCAGUAAAAAUCUCCUCAAGAUGUUAUCAAAAGCGGUGGAUGCAUUAAAGUCAGAUAAGAAAGUUCGGACCAUUAUCAUCAGAAGUGAAGUCCCUGGGAUAUUCUGUGCUGUUUCUUUUCAGCUGAAGGCUGACAUCCAGCUUUGUUUCCAAUUUGCACCUUUUUGGUGGCCGCUCCAGAGUCACAGCUCACAGAAGCCAGAAGUGACUCCUGACUCCCGGUGCUCUCCUCAGAUCUGGGCCUAGGGUGGAUCCGCAGUUAAGUUGUGCUGACCUUAAGGAACGAGCCAAGAUGCAUUCCAGUGAAGUUGGUCCCUUUGUCUCCAAGAUCCGAUCGGUGAUCAAUGACAUUGUGUAGUGAAGAAAGCCUCUGAGAGGUGUCAGCACGUCUUCAUGGAAAGGCCGAGCGAACGGGAGUGGGAGGAGGCGCCUCCAGCCACAGCCAGUGCCUAUCUCUUCAUGGUGAACCUUUGAAGCUGUCUCCUGAGCCCAGAAGCAAGUCGGGAGAGGCCUGUGGCAGCCUCCCUCUGCAUCUUUCUGGAGUCUACCCCCUGGAAAAGGAGGGGACAAAAACAAAGACGGAAAAGAACAAAGCAAAACACCAAGAGAUCAGCUUGGUUAACUAGCAGAACAUUGUGGUAAGAUGGCAGGGCUUGAGACUUGUGUUCCAAAUGGCAACCAUAGGCCGAAGCCAUCACAAAAAGAUACUUUUGGCCCUGGAAGUAAUAGUGUAUCUAGGAGCACAGGAACCAUGCAGAGGUGAAACAGCCUUGUAAGAUAGGGGAGUGUGUAUUCCCUUUAGGGUUCAGUUUCAAGAGGUGCUUCUCAUGAAUCUGUGUGAGGGACACACAGCCAGAGCCAGAGUCACCAACAGAAAGAGGACAAGAAGCCUUGCUGCAGCCACGGUGCAGGCUUUAUUUAACGAGACACAACUAAAGCACUGGGCUGCUUGCCUAGGCCGUACCUGUGGCCAUGUCUGUCUGGCCCACAGGACAUGUUGGGGAAUGGGAAAGAAAAGAUGAAUAAGUUCUGUCAACAUUAAAUGAAGACCACCGGAGGAUGUGUCUGUGAACACGCAGAGGCUUGACAGCUGAGCUGCAGCCUGGAAGCCCUCGGGAGGACUCUCCAGGAAGUAGAUGCAAAGCCCACCCCCUAACUAAGAAGCUGUUCACUGUCGAUACCUGAUGGGAAAGAAGAAAUCAGUUUCCUAUAGCAGAGUGUCACUGGGCACACCGGACACACACCAGGGCAGGCCCCAUGCCCAGGAACAGCUGGCCAACACAAAAUGAACUUAAUGGUUGGUCAGUCGGUGAGUUGGUCUAUCUGUCUGUCUAUCAUUUUUAUGUGAACUUUUUGUUUUGUUUUGCAUCUUUUGACUUACUGGGUCUUUUGGGGGGGGUGCUGAAGGAGGGAGGGAAUGGGUUAGAGAGAGAGAGAGAGAGAGAGAGAAUGAAAUUGGGUGGAUAGGGAGGUGGGCAAGAUCUAGGAAUUGAUGGGCAGGAAAACAUAAUCAAAAUGUAUUGUGUGAAAAAAAGAAUUUAAAUAAAAAAAAGUCCCUCACACUCUUGGGUAGUGGUGUUUAGUCUUUCUGAUGCAGCGACCCUUUAACACAGUUCCUCAUGUCGUGGUGACUUCAACCAUAAAAUUAUUUUUGUUGCUACUUUGUAACUGUAAUUUUGCUGUUGUUAUGAAUGAUAAGUAUCUGAGUUUUGUGACCUUUGGUGACCCCUGUGUAAGGGUCAUGGCCCACAGGUUGAGAAUUACUGCUUUACUGACUGGGCUUAGGCUCCUUAGUAGUCACUUGCAGCUUGUCUCAGUCUCGGUGGGAGGUUGUAUCCCCCAGAUCCCACCCAGACAUUGAAGCCUGAGGAGCAUUAUAAAAUGAUAGCCCUCCCUGACAGGAUGGCUCUGUAGGCAGAGGUUUGGAGUUCAGUAGCCCACAUCCACAUGGUGGAACAAGAGAAUCGACUCUGGCAGGUUGUCCUCUGACCUCCACAUAGACACCCUCCUCACGUGCAUGCGCAUGCGCGGACACCCUGAGUAAGUCAGUGUAAGUAAACCCAUUGUGUGGCUUUGCAUUUUGUGGAUGAACGAUCAGAGAGGUUACUUGGAAAGACUCCUCUCACAGAUACCUCUGUAGAGCGUAGCACUGUCCUACAUCUUGGUCUCUGUUACGAGGGUCAGCAUCUCUGGUAUGACAUCAGAAGGAAGGAGGAACGUGACUGAGUUUUAAGUGCUAUUAUUUAUACACUUAGCCGUUAGGUUCAUCCUAUCACCAUACGGUGUUAAGAACACGGCUGCUGUCUCUCUCACUGGUGCAGCCUACAGGAGCUCCGUCUCCUGUACUGGUGCAGCAGAGUAGCUGCCAUUCUUGUUGCCGUUCAGAUCUACCCCACCAUGUAGGUGUCUGACUUUUGUCCCUCUUUAUUCAAAACCUCGGCCGGUUAGUGCCACAGCGAUGUUGCCAUGCAGGCAGAAGCCAAGUGCUCCUGUGUUUCCGUGCGAACUUGUUGCCUCCUGAUAAUUUGGCUUUUGCUUUCACCACAUUGUGCUGAGAGCUACUCAGUGAAGAAUAGUUUUGUUUUCUUUUGGUUUUUUUGGGUUUUUUUUGUUUUUUUUUUUUUUUGAGGCAGGGUUUCUCUGUGUAGCCCUGGCUGUCCUGGAACUCACUCUGUAGACCAGGCUGGCCUCGAACUCAGAAAUCUGCCUGCCUCUGCCUCCCAAGUGUUGGGAUUAAAGGCAUCCGUCAACCCGCCCGGCCCAAGAAUAGUUCUGAGUUUGCAGACUGUGUGCUGUAUGCUCACUGUGUCUUCUGCCUGUGUCUGAGUGCCGAGGAAGAGUCGUGGGAAGGGCGGGCGAGCUUUUAGGAGUUAUAUAGCUAGCUUCUUUCUGAAGCUCUCCUCUCACUGCUGUCUGUCCUGUGAGUCUGCUGUGCACAGCGUGACACUUGGUCAGGAGCACUCUGCUUGCUUGCUUGCUUGCUUGCUUCCUUUCUUUAGAGACAGGGUUUCUCUGUGUAGCCCUAGGCUCUCCUGGAACUCACUCUGUAGUCCAGGCUGGCCUCGAACUCAGAGAUCCACCUGCCUCUGCCUCCCAAGUGCUGGGAUUAAAGGUGUGCGCCACCACCACUGGCCACUCUGCUUUUAAAGCCUGAGUUUAAACUGCCAACUUCUGCCAUUCCAGAGUACCAUUCUAGAGUUCAUCAACACCAAAAAAAAAAAAAAAAAA